GGACAGAAAGACCCUAUGAAGCUUUACUGUAGCUUGGCAUUGUGUUCGGGCUGCGCUUACGCAGGAUAGGUGGGAGGCGUGGAAGUUGCUCUUGUGGGGGCAAUGGAGCCUACGGUGAGAUACCACUUUAGCGCGGCUAGAAUUCUAACGGCGAGCCAUCAUCUGGCAGCCAGACAGUGUCAGGGGGGCAGUUUGACUGGGGCGGUCGCCUCCAAAAAGGUAACGGAGGCGCACAAAGGUUCUCUCAGGCUGGACGGAAAUCAGCCAUAGAGUGCAAAGGCAGAAGAGAGCUUGACUGCAAGAGAAACGGCUCGAGCAGGGUGGAAACACGGUCUUAGUGAUCCGACGGUACUGCGUGGAAAGGCCGUCGCUCAACGGAUAAAAGUUACUCUAGGGAUACAGGCUGA
rnacentral:rRNA from 1 species